rnacentral:rRNA from 1 species
AGAGUUUGAUCCUGGCUCAGGACGAACGCUGGCGGCGUGCUUAACACAUGCAAGUCGAGCGAUGAAACUUCCUUCGGGAAGUGGAUUAGCGGCGGACGGGUGAGUAACACGUGGGUAACCUGCCUCAAAGUGGGGGAUAGCUUUCCGAAAGGAAGAUUAAUACCGCAUAACAUAAGAGAAUCGCAUGAUUUUCUUAUCAAAGAUUUAUUGCUUUGAGAUGGACCCGCGGCGCAUUAGCUAGUUGGUAAGGUAACGGCUUACCAAGGCAACGAUGCGUAGCCGACCUGAGAGGGUGAUCGGCCACAUUGGAACUGAGACACGGUCCAGACUCCUACGGGAGGCAGCAGUGGGGAAUAUUGCGCAAUGGGGGAAACCCUGACGCAGCAACGCCGCGUGGGUGAUGAAGGUCUUCGGAUUGUAAAGCCCUGUUUUCUAGGACGAUAAUGACGGUACUAGAGGAGGAAGCCACGGCUAACUACGUGCCAGCAGCCGCGGUAAUACGUAGGUGGCGAGCGUUGUCCGGAUUUACUGGGCGUAAAGGGUGCGUAGGCGGAUGUUUAAGUGGGAUGUGAAAUCCCCGGGCUUAACCUGGGGGCUGCAUUCCAAACUGGAUAUCUAGAGUGCAGGAGAGGAAAGCGGAAUUCCUAGUGUAGCGGUGAAAUGCGUAGAGAUUAGGAAGAACACCAGUGGCGAAGGCGGCUUUCUGGACUGUAACUGACGCUGAGGCACGAAAGCGUGGGUAGCAAACAGGAUUAGAUACCCUGGUAGUCCACGCCGUAAACGAUGGAUACUAGGUGUAGGGGGUAUCAACUCCCCCUGUGCCGCAGUUAACACAAUAAGUAUCCCGCCUGGGGGGUACGGUGGAAAG